rnacentral:rRNA from 1 species
CCUACGGGUGGCAGCAGUGGGGAAUAUUGCACAAUGGGGGGAACCCUGAUGCAGCAACGCCGCGUGGGUGAAGAAGUACUCCGGUAUGUAAAGCCCUGUUUGUAGGGAAGUAAAUGACGGUACCUGACCAAGAAGCCCCGGCUAACUACGUGCCAGCAGCCGCGGUAAUACGUAGGGGGCAAGCGUUAUCCGGAUUUACUGGGCGUAAAGGGAGCGUAGACGGCAAGGCAAGUCAGAAGUGAAAGCCCGUGGCCCAACCACGGGACUGCAUUGGAAACUGUGAUGCUGGAGUGCAGGAGGGGUAAGCGGAAUUCCUAGUGUAGCGGUGAAAUGCGUAGAUAUUAGGAGGAACACCGAUGGCGAAGGCGGCUUACUAGACUGUAACUGACGUUGAGGCUCGAAAGCGUGGGGAGCAAACAGGAUUAGAUACCCUGGUAGUC